rnacentral:tRNA from 1 species
GCCUGGCUGGCUCAGUCAGUGGAGCAUGAGACUCUUGAUCUCGAGGCCAUGAGUUCAAGCCCCGUGUUGAGUG